rnacentral:rRNA from 1 species
GACACGACUCUCGACAAUGGAUAUCUUGGCUCUUGCAUCGAUGAAGAGCGCAGCGAAAUGCGAUACGUGGUGCGAAUUGCAGAAUCCCGCGAACCAUCGAGUCUUUGAACGCAAGUUGCGCCCGAGGCAUCUGGCCAAGGGCACGUCCGCCUGGGCGUCAAGC